AACAGUGCCAAUGUGCAUGUAAACUUCAGAAUUAAACAAGGGCUGUUGUUUUUGCCUGUCAUGGAGUUCCAUUCAUUCUGAACAUGUCACCGGGGACUUUGGAAUAUGUAUCCAUAACUCCCUGAUUUUCAACCGCAUUCCAGCCUGCCUGACUCAUGAAGCGUGGAGCGACCCAGGAACAUCCCAGCUCCUCAUGUCCCACAUUCUUCAGGCUUUCUCUUAGUUUUGGCAUGUGCAUGUAAAUGUCAACAGAUGGAGUCUCGCUCUGUCACGCAGGCUGGAGCACAGUGGCGUGAUCUUGGCUCACUGCAAACUCUGUCUCCUGGGUUGAACUGAUUCUCCCGCCUCAGCCUCUCAAGUAGCUGGGACUACAGGCGCCCGCCACCAGGCCUGGCUAAUAUUUGUAUUUUUGUAGAGAUGGGGUUUCACCAUGUUAGCCAGGCUGGUCUCGAACUCCUGACCUCAGGUGAUCUACCCGCCUCAGCCCCUCAAAGUGCUGGGAUUACAGGCGUGAGCCAUCACGCCCAGCUGGCUGUAACCCUAUCUUUAGGCCAACUUGUACCCGGCUCCACUAUGGAACUCAGUGUCGAAGUGCCCGGGCUUCCUGCCCUGGUUCUGGAGAUGGGUGGUGACGAUGGCUGCACAACAAUGUGAAUGUACUAAUGGCCACAGAACUGUGCCCUUCACAGUGGCUAAAAGAGUACAUUUUAUGUUAUGUCUGUUUUACCCCAAUGAAAACAAAUAGCAAAUGUUCUGAUAUUCCCUCCAAA